AACGAACGCUGGCGGCAGGCCUAACACAUGCAAGUCGAACGCCGUAGCAAUACGGAGUGGCAGACGGGUGAGUAACACGUGGGAACGUACCCUUCGGUUCGGGAUAACUCAGGGAAACUUGAGCUAAUACCGGAUACGUCCGAGAGGAGAAAGAUUUAUCGCCGAGGGAUCGGCCCGCGUCUGAUUAGCUUGUUGGUGAGGUAACGGCUCACCAAGGCGACGAUCAGUAGCUGGUCNGAGAGGAUGAUCAGCCACAUUGGGACUGAGACACGGCCCAAACUCCUACGGGAGGCAGCAGUGGGGAAUAUUGGACAAUGGGCGCAAGCCUGAUCCAGCCAUGCCGCGUGAGUGAUGAAGGCCCUAGGGUUGUAAAGCUCUUUUACCCGGGAAGAUAAUGACUGUA
rnacentral:rRNA from 1 species